UAAUGGUGUCAGUCGUAUGGAC
rnacentral:piRNA from 1 species